UACGUAGGGGGCAAGCGUUGUCCGGAAUCAUUGGGCGUAAAGAGCGUGUAGGCGGCCCGAUAAGUCCGCUGUGAAACUCCAGGCUCAACCUGGAGACGCCACCUCAUACUGCCGUGGCUAGAGUCCGGUAGGGGAGCAUGGAAUUCCUGGUGUAGCGGUGAAAUGCGCAGAUAAUCAGGAGGAACACCAGUGGCGAAGGCGGUGCCCUGGGCCGGAACUGACGCUGAGGAGCGAAAGCGUGGGGAGCAAACAGG
rnacentral:rRNA from 1 species